GUAAAGAGAAUACUCAACUAAGCCGUAGAGCCCCGCAUCUGCAUCCGUGGCUGUUACCUAUAAGACAGGAGGAAGGUCAGAGAGGCCACAGACACGCUGGAGAUACUUUUGAUUUUCUAACUUUUCAAAACUAAAAAUAAUUCCAGAGAAGCACAACUGUGUAAGAGAAGCUGGGCGUGGAAAUUUAAACCUAAACACACCCGUACUCGGGUCCACCCACCAUCAUUCAGACAUCAAAUGGUCAUCCUUCUAUGGCCACACUAUGCGCUUCCAGAAUGAUCCUCCAAAGCUCAGUACAUCACUGACGGAGUCGGAGCGAGCCACGUCUCAAUGUGCUGACGGUGCAGUGACUUCAAACAUCUGUGGGUUCCCAUGUUUACAAUACUGUUCCCGGGACAGCGGCACACUUCACUCUUCUCACCCUAUGAGAUCUAAAAAAAGAGACGCUUCGUCGCUGACCCUGGCAAUGAUGUGUUGAGGUGUGGCUCGCAUCUGGAGGCCCACAGAGCGUGACAGGAGAAGGGCUGAGACUGCGAGGGGCAGAGGGAGGACGGUGGGAUGGAAAAUGAGCCCUGCAAGCAAUUUGUUUUCAUG